rnacentral:rRNA from 1 species
GACGAACGCUGGCGGCGUGCUUAACACAUGCAAGUCGAACGACGUGGCGAACGGGUGAGUAACGCGUAAUCAACCUGCCCGUCAAAGGGGGACAGCGGUUGGAAACGACUGCUAAUACCGCAUACUGAAGGAGGGGAUUGGGUCUGAUAAGCUAGUUGGAGGGGUAAGGGCCCACCAAGGCGAGGAUCAGUAGCCGGGUUGGAGGGGGGAACGGCCAAAUUGGGACUGGGACACGGCCCAGACUCCUACGGGAGGCAGCAGUGGGGAAUCUUCCGCAAUGGACGAAAGUCUGACGGAGCAACGCCGCGUGAGUGAUGACGGCCUUCGGGUUGUAAAGCUCUGUUAAUCGGGACGCGGUACCGGAAUAGAAAGCCACGGCUAACUACGUGCCAGCAGCCGCGGUAAUAC